UGGGGAAUUUUGGACAAUGGGCGAAAGCCUGAUCCAGCAAUGCCGCGUGUGUGAAGAAGGCCUUCGGGUUGUAAAGCACUUUUGUCCGGAAAGAAAUCCUUGGCUCUAAUACAGUCGGGGGAUGACGGUACCGGAAGAAUAAGCACCGGCUAACUACGUGCCAGCAGCCGCGGUAAUACGUAGGGUGCAAGCGUUAAUCGGAAUUACUGGGCGUAAAGCGUGCGCAGGCGGUUUGCUAAGACCGAUGUGAAAUCCCCGGGCUCAACCUGGGAACUGCAUUGGUGACUGGCAGGCUAGAGUAUGGCAGAGGGGGGUAGAAUUCCACGUGUAGCAGUGAAAUGCGUAGAGAUGUGGAGGAAUACCGAUGGCGAAGGCAGCCCCCUGGGCCAAGUACUGACGCUCAUGCACGAAAGGCGUGGGGGAGCAAAGCAGGAUUAGAUACCCCUGGUAGUCCACGCCCCUAAACGAUGUCAACUAGUUGUUGGGGAUUCAUUUUCCUUAGUAACGUAGCUAACGCGUGAAGUUGACCGCCUGGGGGAGUACGGUCGCAAGAUUAAAACUCAAA
rnacentral:rRNA from 1 species